GCGAGGGCCAUUUCAGAGCCCGCCUUGUACAAAGCCGAGGCUGGUGGGGCAGAGACCCGCGGACACGCAGGGCCCUCUGCCUACGGGCGCUGCCGGCAGGGCCAGAGUGCUGCAGCGUGGCCCCUCUGGCCCCUUGCUGGCUUCCUUUGAAUGAUGGAGCGGGUUUGUCCCGUAUCCAUCGGGCCCUGUGUGUUCUCUUUACCUUUUAGUUAUUUUCUCCCGGGGAAUGUAUCCGCUUUAGUGUGUCAGAUCUUUAACCUGUCGUCUGGCAGCUUGAAAGGUGGACGUGGUGGGCGUGAGAUUCAUCAACGUACGUUCCAGUGCUCAGAGCCUCCGUGCCUGCCUGUGUCCUGUGUGUAUCUUCUGGGGGAAGGCGUAGCCUUACUUCAACAGGCAGCUUUGCACAUACACACAGGCGACUUCCAGGUUGUCUUUCCAAGCUGUCAUGCUUUCCAGCUGUUGGGGUGACAGUGGCACAGCUGCAUUUUUUGCAUUCUCCGUGCACAGAUCUCCGAGGGAUGAUUGGGCUCAGAGUAUAGGAACAAAGUUCAUCAUAGAAAUCAUAACAAAAGUAUUUCUAGAUUUAAAGUAGAAAAUGAACUGGCAGAUGAAGGUGAACUGAUAUUAACUAUCAGUUUAAACAUAGAUGGCAGCUGACUGGGCGUGGCUGGGAGUGAGCGCCAGAAGUUCUGAGAAGUAGGAGGGGGCCACCGGUGCUCGGAUCGUGGCCCCACCACCUUCUCUGCCCCGAGGUCCCGCCCCUGCUCAGUCUCCUCCCCACAAAGCUGCUCCUGCACCAGGGGUGCUGGAACAAUUUGUAUAGUGGGGGUGCUGAGAGCCAUUGAACCAAACUGCAAACUCUUCAUAUAAUGGAAACCAUUUCAAGCCAUGGAGUGCGGCAGCACCCCCCACACCCUUAAUUCCAGCAUCUAUGGCUUACAUGCCACCUCUGCUCUGCCCUGAGGCCCCGCUCUUGCUUGGCUUCUUCCCCUGAGGUUCUGCCCCCACUCUGCCUCUUCCCACCUCUGCUCCACCUCUUCCCCUAAGGCCCCCCCUGCCCGCUACCCUCUGCCCCCUCCCCUGAAACCCCCUGCCUGCCUGCCACUUAUUCCUCUGCACCCCGUCCCUU